UACGAAGGGGGCUAGCGUUGUUCGGAAUCACUGGGCGUAAAGCGCGUGUAGGCGGAUUGUUAAGUCGGGGGUGAAAUCCCGAGGCUCAACCUCGGAACUGCCUUCGAUACUGGCGAUCUUGAGUCCGGGAGAGGUGAGUGGAACUCCUAGUGUAGAGGUGAAAUUCGUAGAUAUUGGGAAGAACACCGGUGGCGAAGGCGGCGACCUGGUCUGAUACUGACGCUGAGGCGCGACAGCGUGGGGAGCAAACAGG
rnacentral:rRNA from 1 species